CCUACGGGAGGCAGCAGUGGGGAAUAUUGGACAAUGGGGGGAACCCUGAUCCAGCGACGCCGCGUGAGUGAAGAAGUAUCUCGGUAUGUAAAGCUCUAUCAGCAGGGAAGAAAGAAAUGACGGUACCUGACUAAGAAGCCCCGGCUAACUACGGGCCAGCAGCCGCGGUAAUACGGAGGGGGCAAGCGUUAUCCGGAUUUGCUGGGUGUAAAGGGAGCGUAGACGGCUGGGCAAGUCUGAAGUGAAAGGCGGGGGGCCAACCCCCGGACGGCUUUGGAAACUGUAUAGCUAGAGUGCAGGAGAGGUAAGUGGAAUUCCUAGGGUAGCGGUGAAAUGCGUAGAUAUUAGGAAGAACACCAGUGGCGAAGGCGGCUUACUGGACUGUAACUGACGUUGAGGCUCGAAAGCGUGGGGAGCAAACAGGAUUAGAUACCCUUGUAGUC
rnacentral:rRNA from 1 species